AAGAGAUUUACAUGCGUAACUCCCAUUAACUCUUAUGGGACUUAGGCACGUAAAUCUCUCGU
ensembl:miRNA